CCUACGGGAGGCAGCAGUGGGGGAUAUUGCACAAUGGGGGGAACCCUGAUGCAGCGACGCCGCGUGGGUGAAGGAGCGUUUCGGCGCGUAAAGCCCUAUCGGCAGGGAAGAAGAUGACGGUACCUGACCAAGAAGCCCCGGCUAACUACGUGCCAGCAGCCGCGGUAAUACGUAGGGGGCAAGCGUUAUCCGGAUUUACUGGGUGUAAAGGGGGCGCAGGCGGCAAUGCAAGCCAGGGGUGAAAGCCCGGGGCCCAACCCCGGGACUGUCCUUGGAACUGCAUGGCUGGAGCACAGGAGGGGCAGGCGGAAGUCGGGGUGGAGCGGUGAAAUGCGUAGAGAUUAGGAAGAA
rnacentral:rRNA from 1 species